GUCAAUAUCGACUUGCUUUUACUCAUAUGAACAUACUUCAUAGGAUCUUUAAUCACAUAAAUUAGAUUACUAUCUUUAUUGACAGUCAUAAUUGAUAUUUGGAUACGUGUUGCAUUUCAAGAAGUGAUACUACAUUAUGAAAUCAUUAGGUUUGGGGGAGCCCAACGUGUUUCUGAAAAUUUCUUUGAUCUUUUCGUAAUGUCCAGGAAAACAUCCUUCGAGUACAUAAAGCAUGUCAUAAAACUAGAAGACACCAUUCUUGGCUUACUAUCAGAAGCUCUCGGCCUAAAACCAAACCACUUGAAAGCUACUGAAGUGACAAAGAACAAAUAUUGGCAUGCCAUUACUGCCCGUCAUGCCCACAGCCAGAGCUAACUCUCGGUACUUCAAAGCAUACAGAUCCUUCUUUCCUUACCAUUGUGCUUCAAGUCAUGUGUGAUAACCAAUGGGCCGAUGUUACACCGAUUAAACAUGGUUUGGUUGUUAAUAUUGGUGACCUUCUUCAGAUCGUAUCAAAUGACAAGUUUGUAAGUGCAAUUCGUAGAGUUGUGGCAAAUAAGGUAGGACCAAGGAUUUCAGUGGCAUGCUUCUUCAAUGAAAGUUCUGUAUCAAAGAGCUCAUAUAGGAAGAAAAUCCCCCACUAUAUAAAGACUUUCUAGUAGCUGAUUAUCUCACUAAUUUUUUCUACAAGCCUCCAUCAGAAAAGACUAUCAUCAUUGUCGAUCAGAGUUUGCGAUUCACAGUACAAUGAUAAACAGAUUAUUUUCAUUUAUGUAUCCUUCAACUUGUUCCUCUAAUAAUGUUAUACAUUAUCAAAUCAGUUCCAUUGGAUCUUUCAAGUGA